rnacentral:rRNA from 1 species
UACGAAGGGGGCUAGCGUUGUUCGGAAUCACUGGGCGUAAAGGGCGCGUAGGCGGAUCUUUAAGUCGGGGGUGAAAGCCCAGGGCUCAACCCUGGAAUUGCCUUCGAUACUGGAGAUCUUGAGACCGGAAGAGGUAAGUGGAACUGCGAGUGUAGAGGUGAAAUUCGUAGAUAUUCGCAAGAACACCAGUGGCGAAGGCGGCUUACUGGUCCGGUUCUGACGCUGAGGCGCGAAAGCGUGGGGAGCAAACAGG